UUCUAGUAUAUAAAGGCAUGCAUUUGCUUCAGUAAUCAGUAUCUCUCCUUCUAAGAUAUAUGAUGGGCCAAAUAAAUAUUAUCAUCGCGAUGGUUCUAACUUUAGUUCUGAAUAUGCAAAUGAUCAGUUCCGUCUUCGCUCAUGAGACCAAGGUGUAUGUAGUUUAUCUGGGAAAGAAGACACAUGAUGAUCCUGAGUCUGUCACUGAAUCUCACCAUCAGUUGCUGAGGCCACUUCUGGGAAGCUGAGAUUUAGAAGUAAUUCUACAAAUGAGAUUUAGUAGGUGAUAAGGGCAUCUCCAACUAUCGUUACUCAGAUCAUUGCUUUACCAAAAUUUUAGUGAAUAAAUAAUAAAAAGUACUAAAAAGACAAGAGAGAGAAGAGAAGCGUUACUCAAGUUGCUGUUGGAAGAAACAAUUCCUACAUUAUUUAUAUACAUGGCCACUUAUUAUUGGUUUAUACUUGUUUCAAUUAAAAUACUAUUAAUUUUUUU